rnacentral:lncRNA from 1 species
UGGGUAUGCUACCCUUCCUUUUUUGGCGGUUUUACCUCGUAGUAACUUUCCAGAAAAACGAAAGGGUUAUGAUGAGAGAUUAUGUCAUACCCUGGCACAUGCUUUGUCCAAUGGACCAUGGAAGGGACUUUACUUGGCUGACGAGGUAAAACGUGUGGCUGGCGCACGAUUCAUUGCAUCUCGUAGAGUAGCAUUCAAUGGUAGACAGGCAGGCCUCUAGAU